rnacentral:rRNA from 1 species
GACGAACGCUGGCGGCGUGCUUAACACAUGCAAGUCGAACGGAAAGGCCUGUCCUUCCUUGUGUUGGACGGGUACUCGAGUGGCGAACGGGUGAGUAACACGUGAGUGAUCUGCCCCCAACUUGGGUAUAAGCCUGGGAAACUGGGUCUAAUUCCCGAUAGGACUGCAGGGUGGUGCCUGUGGUGGAAAACGAUUUUCUAGUGGUUGGGGAUGAGCUCGCGGCCUAUCAGCUUGUUGGUGGGGUAAUGGCCUACCAAGGCGGCGACGGGUAGCCGGCCUGAGAGGGUGGACGGCCACAUUGGGACUGAGAUACGGCCCAGACUCCUACGGGAGGCAGAAGUGGGGAAUAUUGCACAAUGGGCGGAAGCCUGAUGCAGCGACGCCGCGUGGGGGAUGACGGCCUUCGGGUUGUAAACUCCUUUCGACCGCGAGGAAGCCGCCUGGUUGGAAGGGUGGUGACGGUAGUGGUAGAAGAAGCACUGGCUAACUACGUG